rnacentral:misc_RNA from 1 species
AAGUCGUAACAAGGUUUCCGUAGGUGAACCUGCGGAAGGAUCAUUCAUAAUCAAGUGUUUUUAUGGCACUUUCAAAAAUCCAUAUCCACCUUGUGUGCAAUGUCAUCUCACUGGAGGUCGACGGCUGUAAAAAUCCGUUGGUCACCUUUGGGAUUUAUAUCUACUCAGAACUUUAGUGAUUUUGUCUGAAACAUAUUAUGAAUACUUAAUUCAAAAUACAACUUUCAACAACGGAUCUCUUGGCUCUC